UACGAAGGGGGCGAGCGUUGUUCGGAAUUACUGGGCGUAAAGGGCGCGUAGGCGGCGACUCUAGUCAGAUGUGAAAGUCCUGGGCUUAACCGGGGAACUGCGUCUGAUACUGGAUGGCUUGAGUUCGGGAGAGGGAUGCGGAAUUCCAGGUGUAGCGGUGAAAUGCGUAGAUAUCUGGAGGAACACCGGUGGCGAAGGCGGCAUCCUGGACCGAUACUGACGCUGAGGAGCGAAAGCCAGGGGAGCAAACGGG
rnacentral:rRNA from 1 species